GAAAUCUGGCGUCCACGGCGUCCGAGUUGUAAUUUGGAGAGGCAUCUUUGGGAGGGGCCCAGUCUAAGCUCCUUGGAACAGCACGUCACAGAGGGUGAGAAUCCCGUUCUUGGCUGGAUGUUCCCUCCCGGAAAAAGCGCCUUCGACGAGUCGAGUUGUUUGGGAAUGCAGCUCAAAAUGGGUGGUAAAUUUCAUCUAAAGCUAAAUAUUGGCGAGAGACCGAUAGCGCACAAGUAGAGUGAUCGAAAGAUGAAAAGCACUUUGAAAAUAGAGUCAAACAGUACGUGAAAUUGUUGAAAGGGAAGCGCUUGAGACCAGACUCAGCCUUUGACAAACAACCGUCCUUCUGGGCGGUGCACUUGUCCUGGGCUGGGCCAGCAUCAGUUGGGACGGCGGGACAAAGGCCUGGGGAAUGUGACUCCCCUGAGGAGUGUUAUAGCCCCAGGCGCAAUGCCGCCCGACC
rnacentral:rRNA from 1 species